GGGUGAGUAACGCGUGGGUAACCUGCCCUGUACACACGGAUAACAUACCGAAAGGUAUGCUAAUACGAGAUAAAAUACUUUUAUCGCAUGGUAGAAGUAUCAAAGCUUUUGCGGUACAGGAUGGACCCGCGUCUGAUUAGCUAGUUGGUAAGGUAACGGCUUACCAAGGCGACGAUCAGUAGCCGACCUGAGAGGGUGAUCGGCCACAUUGGAACUGAGACACGGUCCAAACUCCUACGGGAGGCAGCAGUGGGGAAUAUUGCACAAUGGGCGAAAGCCUGAUGCAGCAACGCCGCGUGAGCGAUGAAGGCCUUCGGGUCGUAAAGCUCUGUCCUCAAGGAAGAUAAUGACGGUACUUGAGGAGGAAGCCCCGGCUAACUACGUGCCAGCAGCCGCGGUAAUACGUAGGGGGCUAGCGUUAUCCGGAAUUACUGGGCGUAAAGGGUGCGUAGGUGGUUUCUUAAGUCAGAGGUGAAAGGCUACGGCUCAACCGUAGUAAGCCUUUGAAACUGGGGAACUUGAGUGCAGGAGAGGAGAGUGGAAUUCCUAGUGUAGCGGUGAAAUGCGUAGAUAUUAGGAGGAACACCAGUUGCGAAGGCGGCUCUCUGGACUGUAACUGACGCUGAGGCUCGAAAGCGUGGGGAGCAAACAGGAUUAGAUACCCUGGUAGUCCACGCCGUAAACGAU
rnacentral:rRNA from 1 species